GAUAAACGCUGGCGGCGUGCAUAACACAUGCAAGUCGAACGAUGAAACUUAGAUGAUUUCUUCGGAAUGAACUUAAGCGGAUUAGUGGCGAACGGGUGAGUAACACGUGAGUAACCUGCCUUACACAAGGGGAUAGCCUUUGGAAACGAAGAAUAAUACCCUAUAAAGUCAAUUUAUCGCAUGAUAGAAUGACCAAAGAUUUAUCGGUGUAAGAUGGACUUGCGUCUGAUUAGCUAGUUGGUGAGAUAAAGGCCCACCAAGGCAACGAUCAGUAGCCGGCUUGAGAGAGUGUACGGCCACAUUGGGACUGAGACACGGCCCAAACUCCUACGGGAGGCAGCAGUGGGGAAUUUUGCACAAUGGGGGAAACCCUGAUGCAGCGACGCCGCGUGAUUUAGAAGGCCUUCGGGUUGUAAAAAUCUUUUUUAUGGGAUGAAAAUGACAGUACCAUAAGAAUAAGGUCCGGCUAAAUACGUGCCAGCAGCCGCGGUAAUACGUAUGGACCGAGCGUUGUCCGGAAUCAUUGGGCGUAAAGGUUACGUAGGCGGCCCAGUAAGUUAGAAGUGAAAUAAUAUAGCUCAACUAUAUAAAGCUUUUUAAAACUGCUAGGCUUGAGAGAUGUGAGGUAAAGUGGAAUUCCUAUUGUAUCGGUGAAAUGCGCAUAUAUUAGGGAAAAUACUGGGUGGCGAGGCGACUUUUCUGGUCAUCGUCUGUGCGCUGAGGGCUAGAGCGUGGGGAGCAAAAUUGAUGUGUAUACCCUGGUGUUCAAGGUGGAUUCUGCAGUUGUUUGUUUGCUGUAUCUGAUGGGGUCGGUGUGGGGGGUGCUGCGUGUGUGGGUAUAUAGAAACAUGUAUGAGAGUUUUUUAAUGUGUGGUGUAUGAUGUGUUUCUUGUGGGUGUGUCUGUGUGUGUUGUGUUGUGGUGCUGUGUGGUGUGUGUGUCGCUGUGCUGACUUGGUUCUGUUGUGUGUGUGUUGUUGUGCCUGCCUGUGCUGUGUCGUGUGGUGCUGUCCCCUGG
rnacentral:rRNA from 1 species